rnacentral:tRNA from 1 species
GAGGGUAUAGCUCAGUGGUAGAGUGCGUGCUUAGCAUGCACGAGGUCCUGGGUUCAAUCCCCAGUCCCUCCA